UACGUAGGGGGCAAGCGUUGUCCGGAUUUAUUGGGCGUAAAGAGCUCGUAGGCGGUUUGUUGCGUCGGCUGUGAAAACCUGAGGCUCAACCUCAGGCCUGCAGUCGAUACGAGCAGACUAGAGUGUUGCAGGGGAGACUGGAAUUCCUGGUGUAGCGGUGAAAUGCGCAGAUAUCAGGAGGAACACCCGUAGCGAAGGCGGCACUCUGGGCCGGAACUGACGCUGAGGAGCGAAAGCGUGGGGAGCGAACAGG
rnacentral:rRNA from 1 species